rnacentral:rRNA from 1 species
AUUGAACGCUGGCGGCAGGCUUAACACAUGCAAGUCGAGCGGGGUGAUGGUGCUUGCACUAUCACUUAGCGGCGGACGGGUGAGUAAUGCUUAGGAAUCUGCCUAUUAGUGGGGGACAACAUCUCGAAAGGGAUGCUAAUACCGCAUACGUCCUACGGGAGAAAGCAGGGGAUCACUUGUGACCUUGCGCUAAUAGAUGAGCCUAAGUCGGAUUCGCUAGUUGGUGGGGUAAAGGCCUACCAAGGCGACGAUCUGUAGCGGGUCUGAGAGGAUGAUCCGCGACACUGGGACUGAGACACGGCCCAGACUCCUACGGGAGGCAGCAGUGGGGAAUAUUGGACAAUGGGGGGAACCCUGAUCCAGCCAUGCCGCGUGUGUGAAGAAGGCCUUAUGGUUGUAAAGCACUUUAAGCGAGGAGGAGGCUCUCUUGGUUAAUACCCAAGAUGAGUGGACGUUACUCGCAGAAUAAGCACCGGCUAACUCUGUGCCAGCCGCCGCGGUAA